AUGAGGGAACGUGUUAGGAAGAGGGAGGAGGAGGAUGACGAAAUGAUGUUAUUCGUUUUCCCUGCACUACAUUUGAUAGAGACCGAUGGAGUUGCUCUUAGGGAGAGGAGGAUUCCGCGACAUACAUCAGCGCUAACAGGCGAAAUGUUUGUUAGGCAGUUACUCUAAGGGCACGUCGAAAACUGUCGGGUAGCAUUUAGGAUGGAGCCGCAUAUCUUCAAAUUUUUAGCUAAUUAUCUGAGAAGUUGGUGA
rnacentral:rRNA from 1 species